rnacentral:hammerhead_ribozyme from 1 species
AUCCAGCCGAAGAGUCCCAAAUAGGACGUCCUGUAU